AACGAACGCUAGCGGCAUGCCUCAAACAUGCAAGUCGAACGAGAAAGUACCUUCGGGUACAAGUACAGUGGCGCACGGGUGAGUAACACGUAGCUAACCUACCCUUAUGCUGGGGAUAACUUCGGGAAACCGAAGCUAAUACCGAAUAGUGAGCAUCUUCUGCGGAAGUUGCUUUAAAGCCUUCGGGCGCGUAGGGACGGGGCUGCGGUACAUUAGCUUGAUGGUGGGGUAACGGCCUACCAUGGCUACGAUGUAUAGCUGGUCUGAGAGGAUGAUCAGCCACACUGGGACUGGAACACGGCCCAGACUCCCACGGGAGGCAGCAGUUGGGAAUAUUGGACAAUGGGGUAACCCCUGAUCCAGCAAUGCCGCAUGUGUGAUGAAGGCCCUCGGGUCGUAAAGCACUUUCAGAAGGGAAGAACAAAAUGACGGUACCUUCAGAAGAAGCACCGGCUAACUCCGUGCCAGCCGCCGCCGUAAAAC
rnacentral:rRNA from 1 species